rnacentral:rRNA from 1 species
GACGAACGCUGGCGGCGUGCUUAACACAUGCAAGUCGAGCGGUAAGGCCCUUUCGGGGGUACACGAGCGGCGAACGGGUGAGUAACACGUGGGUGACCUGCCUCUAGCUCUGGGAUAAGCCUGGGAAGCUGGGUCUAAUACCGGAUAUGACCUCGCGGUGCAUGUUGCGGGGUGGAAAGCCUUGUGCGGCUAGGGAUGGGCCCGCGGCCUAUCAGCUUGUUGGUGGGGGUAAUGGCCUACCAAGGCGACGACGGGUAGCCGGCCUGAGAGGGCGACCGGCCACACUGGGACUGAGACACGGCCCAGACUCCUACGGGAGGCAGCAGUGGGGAAUCUUGCGCAAUGGGCGAAAGCCUGACGCAGCGACGCCGCGUGAGGGAUGACGGCCUCGGUGUAA